GGUUAAGCGACUAAGCGUACACGGUGGAUGCCCUGGCAGUCAGAGGCGAUGAAGGACGUGCUAAUCUGCGAUAAGCGUCGGUAAGGUGAUAUGAACCGUUAUAACCGGCGAUUUCCGAAUGGGGAAACCCAGUGUGAUUCGUCACACUAUCAUUAACUGAAUCCAUAGGUUAAUGAGGCGAACCGGGGGAACUGAAACAUCUAAGUACCCCGAGGAAAAGAAAUCAACCGAGAUUCCCCCAGUAGCGGCGAGCGAACGGGGAGCAGCCCAGAGCCUGAAUCAGUGUGUGUGUUAGUGGAAGCGUCUGGAAAGGCGUGCGAUACAGGGUGACAGCCCCGUACACAAAAAUGCACAUACUGUGAGCUCGAUGAGUAGGGCGGGACACGUGGUAUCCUGUCUGAAUAUGGGGGGACCAUCCUCCAAGGCUAAAUACUCCUGACUGACCGAUAGUGAACCAGUACCGUGAGGGAAAGGCGAAAAGAACCCCGGCGAGGGGAGUGAAAAAGAACCUGAAACCGUGUACGUACAAGCAGUGGGAGCACAGAGCAAUCUGUGUGACUGCGUACCUUUUGUAUAAUGGGUCAGCGACUUAUAUUCUGUAGCAAGGUUAACCGAAUAGGGGAGCCGAAGGGAAACCGAGUCUUAACUGGGCGUUAAGUUGCAGGGUAUAGACCCGAAACCCGGUGAUCUAGCCAUGGGCAGGUUGAAGGUUGGGUAACACUAACUGGAGGACCGAACCGACUAAUGUUGAAAAAUUAGCGGAUGACUUGUGGCUGGGGGUGAAAGGCCAAUCAAACCGGGAGAUAGCUGGUUCUCCCCGAAAGCUAUUUAGGUAGCGCCUCGUGAAUUCAUCUCCGGGGGUAGAGCACUGUUUCGGCAAGGGGGUCAUCCCGACUUACCAACCCGAUGCAAACUGCGAAUACCGGAGAAUGUUAUCACGGGAGACACACGGCGGGUGCUAACGUCCGUCGUGAAGAGGGAAACAACCCAGACCGCCAGCUAAGGUCCCAAAGUCAUGGUUAAGUGGGAAACGAUGUGGGAAGGCCCAGACAGCCAGGAUGUUGGCUUAGAAGCAGCCAUCAUUUAAAGAAAGCGUAAUAGCUCACUGGUCGAGUCGGCCUGCGCGGAAGAUGUAACGGGGCUAAACCAUGCACCGAAGCUGCGGCAGCGACGCUUAUGCGUUGUUGGGUAGGGGAGCGUUCUGUAAGCCUGCGAAGGUGUGCUGUGAGGCAUGCUGGAGGUAUCAGAAGUGCGAAUGCUGACAUAAGUAACGAUAAAGCGGGUGAAAAGCCCGCUCGCCGGAAGACCAAGGGUUCCUGUCCAACGUUAAUCGGGGCAGGGUGAGUCGACCCCUAAGGCGAGGCCGAAAGGCGUAGUCGAUGGGAAACAGGUUAAUAUUCCUGUACUUGGUGUUACUGCGAAGGGGGGACGGAGAAGGCUAUGUUGGCCGGGCGACGGUUGUCCCGGUUUAAGCGUGUAGGCUGGUUUUCCAGGCAAAUCCGGAAAACUAAGGCUGAGGCGUGAUGACGAGGCACUACGGUGCUGAAGCAACAAAUGCCCUGCUUCCAGGAAAAGCCUCUAAGCAUCAGGUAACAUCAAAUCGUACCCCAAACCGACACAGGUGGUCAGGUAGAGAAUACCAAGGCGCUUGAGAGAACUCGGGUGAAGGAACUAGGCAAAAUGGUGCCGUAACUUCGGGAGAAGGCACGCUGAUAUGUAGGUGAAGUCCCUCGCGGAUGGAGCUGAAAUCAGUCGAAGAUACCAGCUGGCUGCAACUGUUUAUUAAAAACACAGCACUGUGCAAACACGAAAGUGGACGUAUACGGUGUGACGCCUGCCCGGUGCCGGAAGGUUAAUUGAUGGGGUUAGCGCAAGCGAAGCUCUUGAUCGAAGCCCCGGUAAACGGCGGCCGUAACUAUAACGGUCCUAAGGUAGCGAAAUUCCUUGUCGGGUAAGUUCCGACCUGCACGAAUGGCGUAAUGAUGGCCAGGCUGUCUCCACCCGAGACUCAGUGAAAUUGAACUCGCUGUGAAGAUGCAGUGUACCCGCGGCAAGACGGAAAGACCCCGUGAACCUUUACUAUAGCUUGACACUGAACAUUGAGCCUUGAUGUGUAGGAUAGGUGGGAGGCUUUGAAGUGUGGACGCCAGUCUGCAUGGAGCCGACCUUGAAAUACCACCCUUUAAUGUUUGAUGUUCUAACGUUGACCCGUGAUCCGGGUUGCGGACAGUGUCUGGUGGGUAGUUUGACUGGGGCGGUCUCCUCCUAAAGAGUAACGGAGGAGCACGAAGGUUGGCUAAUCCUGGUCGGACAUCAGGAGGUUAGUGCAAUGGCAUAAGCCAGCUUGACUGCGAGCGUGACGGCGCGAGCAGGUGCGAAAGCAGGUCAUAGUGAUCCGGUGGUUCUGAAUGGAAGGGCCAUCGCUCAACGGAUAAAAGGUACUCCGGGGAUAACAGGCUGAUACCGCCCAAGAGUUCAUAUCGACGGCGGUGUUUGGCACCUCGAUGUCGGCUCAUCACAUCCUGGGGCUGAAGUAGGUCCCAAGGGUAUGGCUGUUCGCCAUUUAAAGUGGUACGCGAGCUGGGUUUAGAACGUCGUGAGACAGUUCGGUCCCUAUCUGCCGUGGGCGCUGGAGAACUGAGGGGGGCUGCUCCUAGUACGAGAGGACCGGAGUGGACGCAUCACUGGUGUUCGGGUUGUCAUGCCAAUGGCACUGCCCGGUAGCUAAAUGCGGAAGAGAUAAGUGCUGAAAGCAUCUAAGCACGAAACUUGCCCCGAGAUGAGUUCUCCCUGACUCCUUGAGAGUCCUGAAGGAACGUUGAAGACGACGACGUUGAUAGGCCGGGUGUGUAAGCGCAGCGAUGCGUUGAGCUAACCGGUACUAAUGAACCGUGAGGCUUAACCUU
rnacentral:rRNA from 1 species